rnacentral:rRNA from 1 species
GAUGAACGCUAGCUACAGGCUUAACACAUGCAAGUCGCGGGACCGGCGCACGGGUGAGUAACGCGUAUCCAACCUGCCCUUCACCACGGGAUAACCCGGCGAAAGUCGGACUAAUACCGUAUGGUGAAGGAUGGGGAUGCGUCCGAUUAGCUUGACGGAGGGUGAACGGCCCACCGUGGCUACGAUCGGUAGGGGUUCUGAGUGGAAGGUCCCCGAGACUGGAACUGAGACACAGUCCAGACUCGUACGGGAGGAAGCAGUGAGGAAUAUUGGUCAAUGGGCGUAAGCCUGAACCAGCCAAGUAGCGUGCAGGACGACGGCCUAUGGGUUGUAAACUGCUUUUAUGCGGGGAUAGGUACCGCAUGAAUAAGGACCGGCUAAUUCCGUGCCAGCCGCCGCGGUAAUAC